CCUACGGGCGGCAGCAGUGGGGAAUAUUGCGCAAUGGGCGAAAGCCUGACGCAGCGACGCCGCGUGAGGGAUGAAGGUCUUCGGAUCGUAAACCUCUGUCAGCAGGGAAGAACGGUCACUGUGCUAAUCAGCAGUGAAUUGACGGUACCUGCAAAGGAAGCACCGGCUAACUCCGUGCCAGCAGCCGCGGUAAUACGGAGGGUGCGAGCGUUAAUCGGAAUUACUGGGCGUAAAGCGCUCGUAGGCGGUAUGUCAAGUCAAGGGUGAAAGCCCCGCGCUCAACGUGGGAACUGCCUUUGAAACUGGCAAGCUGGAGUGUGUGAGAGGAGAGUGGAAUUCCCGGUGUAGCAGUGAAAUGCGUAGAUAUCGAGAGGAACACUCGUGGCGAAGGCGGGUUCCUGGACAUUAACUGACGCUGAGGCACGAAGGCCAGGGGAGCGAAAGGGAUUAGAUACCCGUGUAGUC
rnacentral:rRNA from 1 species